rnacentral:lncRNA from 1 species
AGGGGUGGAAUGGGGGCGCGGAGACCCCACCUGGACGCGGAGGCUCGCGGCAGGCCCGGCCGCUCGGGCCGUUGUGGGGGCCGAGCCCGGCCGCGCGCACAGCUUCUAGUGGCCCGCAAGAUUCCUCCUGGGGCGGCGCUGGGAGCCUCGGGGCUCGGCUUCCUCGACCCCCGCCCCCAGGUUUCCUCUGCAGCCUGAGGUCGGGAAGGACGGACGGAGAGUGGAUCCUCCAGGUGGUGGGAAAAGCUUAACAGCCUGGUGCCAGUUACCCUGCGAUGGGAGAGGGGGCAGCCCCCAUAGAAGCACGGGCUUAUGGGACCCGGGUUCCUUCAGUGCUCACCCACGAAGAAGGGCUCCCAAACGGCCCCACUCGACGGCUCACCGGAGGAUGGUCCUGCGCAGUGGGUGUUUGUUGAACAGAUAAGAGACAACAAAACAGACUAAGAAGAGGCCUGUUCUAUGAACCGGGGAAAGUGAAGGAAUCACAAAGAGCGGCUCGCCUUAGGGCAAUCCUGGGGAAAAGAUGGAGAGGCAUGGAUUUUUCUUGGAUGUGUGCCUCAUCCUGGGGCUCAUCCCUCUGAGCAUCAAAUAUUCAUUGCAAAAGAGGGGGAAAAACUCUGCUGCGGACAAUGCUGGAUGGUCUGAUCUCUCCCUUGGCCAGAAUUAACGGGGCAAUUCCUAACCCCUGUUGGUCCUCAGAAUCACCUGGCCUAUGCACACUCCCGCUAAACCACUGAAGUCCAAUUUCUGGGAGCUCAGCCAGGGAAUGUGUAUUUUUAAACAAGCCCCCUAGGUUACUCUGAUAAGUGCAAAGUCAGAGAGCGCUGCUCUCAUGCACUGAGCCUGAGCACUCUUCUAUUAAUAAAAAAGGAGAGGAGAAUCCUGGGUUGGGUGCCCUUCGCCUUCUGGCGGCAGAAGAGCAGAGCCAGGCUCUAAGCACCUGCACCCACCGCUGGGCUCAGGAGCUGCGCUGGAGAAUAGAAGGGCUAAUUUAGUCAUUCAUGCCUUUUUAGAGCAAAUUACAUGUGGAGAGGGUGGGGCACACUGAAUUUUAUUUUAGCCAAAUGCCCCUUAUCUCCUUAUGCAAUUGAUAUUUUUAUAUUGAACAUUAGAGGAUUGGUCAUUUGUCAUCAAGUCGUCUGUAAUACAGAAAACGAUAAAUACAACCUAACAGUUCAAACAUGACGAGUUAAAUAAAUGAUGGUUAAAAAUAUACGCUGCGAUAAUAUUUAAUUGCUGUUACCACUACGAAGAUAAGUGUCGACUGACAUGGAAAUAUGUUCAGGUCAAACAAAUAAAUGAAAAGGCAGGCCUGGACACAGUGUGA